AGUCAGGAAAGACUUGGUUCCUUGUCCAGAAGCAACGCUCAUCCCACACCCCAAAGGAACUGCUUAGUCCAAAAGACGGAGAAGAUGAGCAACAGGGUGACGCUGAGGAUGACAGCCAUCAGACAACCAGCCUGGCAGGCACUGACCGCUGAGAUCUUAGAGUCCAAAGGCCGGCCAUCUCUCCACCCUUGGGGACUUAAAAGGGGGAGCCAGGAAGGAGGACAGUUCCAGCCCCGCUUCCCCAUUUCAACCAGAAACACCUGGCUUUUCCCAUAUCGAUCGCUUGAAUAAGCUGAGUGGAGCUGCUGAGGGGAAGAAAAAGUUUAAGAACCAUUUCUCCAUCCUAACCACUCACUUUGCAGACGGGAAGCAAGAAGUGACUCUCACCCAAGGUCUCCCAGCUCGUCAGUGGUGUCACCCAGUGGUGACACUAGAGCUUCCAGCUCACCACUGUACUGCUGCUUGAAGACAACACUCGUCCAUCAGUUCACCUGCCGGGUGCGUGUUGUUAACUACAUGGUCCAGACUCUUCCUACCUGCCCCCGUCCCUCGCCUUCAGGCCCACCACCACCGGGACACCACUGAAAGCAGUGGUGGCCAGGGCUCUGGCCGGAAGAACCAGUCCACAUGUCUGAAGACCCGAGUUGCCACGUGGGUUCCGCCACAUGCUGUGUGCUCCUUGGCAAGUCAUUUUUCUUCUCUGCAGAACGGAGGUAAUAUACUCCACACUGCCUGUCUCACCGUGUUAUGUCAUUGGAAGACCCAGGUGAAAUUAUGAUUGUGAAAGUAGUAUAUGAAAUAUAGAGCACAUACGUCUCUGUAUUUGAGAAAAUGAGGGAAUCCUGGAUUCCGGGAUGUAUUAUAAUUCUUCACAGAAGUACUGGUUACUAGAGUGUGUUUGGCUUAUGGAGAAUCAGCAAGCUAUGAUCGUAAGGCAUCUGCAAUUAUUUAUGAUUGCUAUGCUUGAAUUAAAAGAUAAAAAAAUACAUAUAGUGGCUUGGAGGGGCAACUGGGUGGCUCAGUUGGUUAAGCGACCCACUCUUGAUUUCGGCUCAGGUCACGAUCUCGC